rnacentral:rRNA from 1 species
AUUGAACGCUGGCGGCAGGCCUAACACAUGCAAGUCGAACGAGUGGCGGACGGGUGAGUAAUGUCUGGGAAACUGCCUGAUGGAGGGGGAUAACUACUGGAAACGGUAGCUAAUAACGCAUACCAUCAGAUGUGCCCAGAUGGGAUUAGCUAGUUGGUGGGGUAACGGAGCACCAAGGCGACGAUCCCUCGCUGGUAUGAGAGGAUGACCAGCCAACCUGGAACUGAGACACGGUCCAGACUCCUCAGGUGGGCAGCAGUGGGGAAUAUUGCACAUGGGGCGCAAGCCUGAUGCAGCCAUGCCGCGUGUAUGAAGAAGGCCUUCGGGUUGUAAAGUACUUUCAGCGGGGAGGCGUUACCCGCAGAAGAAGCACCGGCUAACUCCGUGCCAGCAGCCGCGGUAAUUC